rnacentral:rRNA from 1 species
AGCGAACGCUGGCGGCAGGCCUAACACAUGCAAGUCGAACGGCUCUUCGGAGCAGUGGCGGACGGGUGAGUAACACGUGGGAACGUGCCCUUUGGUACGGAACAACUGAGGGAAACUUCAGCUAAUACCGUAUGUGCCCUUCGGGGGAAAGAUUUAUCGCCAUUGGAGCGGCCCGCGCUGGAUUAGGUAGUUGGUGGGGUAAUGGCCCACCAAGCCUACGAUCCAUAGCUGGUCUGAGAGGAUGAUCAGCCACACUGGGACUGAGACACGGCCCAGACUCCUACGGGAGGCAGCAGUGGGGAAUCUUGCGCAAUGGGCGAAAGCCUGACGCAGCCAUGCCGCGUGUAUGAUGAAGGUCUUAGGAUUGUAAAAUACUUUCACCGGGGAAGAUAAUGACGGUACCCGGAGAAGAAGCCCCGGCUAACUUCGUGCCAGCCGCCGCGGUAAUAC